rnacentral:rRNA from 1 species
UACGUAGGGGGCAAGCGUUGUCCGGAUUUAUUGGGCGUAAAGAGCGUGUAGGCGGCUAUUUAAGUCCUGCGUGAAAUCCUGCGGCUCAACCGCAGACGGUCGUGGGAAACUGGAUGGCUAGAGUGCGGGAGAGGAGAGUGGAAUUCCCGGUGUAGCGGUGAAAUGCGCAGAUAUCGGGAAGAACACCCGUGGCGAAGGCGGCUCUCUGGAACGCAACUGACGCUGAGACGCGAAAGCUAGGGGAGCAAACAGGG